GACGAACGCUGGCGGCGUGCUUAACACAUGCAAGUCGAACGGAAAGGCCCUGCUUUUGUGGGGUGCUCGAGUGGCGAACGGGUGAGUAACACGUGAGUAACCUGCCCUUGACUUUGGGAUAACUUCAGGAAACUGGGGCUAAUACCGGAUAGGAGCUCCUGCCGCAUGGUGGGGGUUGGAAAGUUUCGGCGGUUGGGGAUGGACUCGCGGCUUAUCAGCUUGUUGGUGGGGUAGUGGCUUACCAAGGCUUUGACGGGUAGCCGGCCUGAGAGGGUGACCGGCCACAUUGGGACUGAGAUACGGCCCAGACUCCUACGGGAGGCAGCAGUGGGGAAUAUUGCACAAUGGGCGGAAGCCUGAUGCAGCAACGCCGCGUGCGGGAUGACGGCCUUCGGGUUGUAAACCGCUUUCUCCUGUGACGAAGCGUGAGUGACGGUAAUGGGUAAAGAAGCACCGGCUAACUACGUG
rnacentral:rRNA from 1 species